UGAGGAAUAUUGGUCAAUGGACGGAAGUCUGAACCAGCCAAGUAGCGUGCAGGAAGACGGCCCUAUGGGUUGUAAACUGCUUUUAUACGAGAAUAAUUUGAUGCACGUGUGCGUUAUUGCAUGUAUCGUAUGAAUAAGGACCGGCUAAUUCCGUGCCAGCAGCCGCGGUAAUACGGAAGGUCCAGGCGUUAUCCGGAUUUAUUGGGUUUAAAGGGAGUGUAGGCGGUUUGUUAAGCGUGUUGUGAAAUUUAGGUGCUCAACAUUUAACUUGCAGCGCGAACUGUCAGACUUGAGUACACGCAACGUAUGCGGAAUUCAUGGUGUAGCGGUGAAAUGCUUAGAUAUCAUGAAGAACUCCGAUUGCGAAGGCAGCAUACGGGAGUGUAACUGACGCUUAAGCUCGAAGGUGCGGGUAUCGAACAGGAUUAGAUACCCUGGUAGUCCGCACAGUAAACGAUGGAUGCCCGCUGUUAGCGCCUGGCGUUAGCGGCUAAGCGAAAGCAUUAAGCAUCCCACCUGGGGAGUACGCCGGCNCGGU
rnacentral:rRNA from 1 species